rnacentral:snRNA from 1 species
GGCUUUGUGCAGUGGCAGUAUCGCAGCCAAUGAGGUUUUUUGGAGGCGCGAUUACUGCUAAUUGAAACCGACAAAUGCUCCAAAUUUGCCAACCUUUUCUGUGAUGACAAGUGGCUGACAACAGUAUGCCAUCCAAUAAGUAUUUUGAAAAAUAUUUUUCAGAUGAUGAGAUCUGGAAGUGUUUUCAUCAUUGUGAUUUUCUUACUAAAAAUA